CUUGCGGCGGUGGGUCUACGACAUGGCUCGACUGGUCUAUCUUCCAUCAGGUCUCAAUCUUCCAUCUCUGUAUUUCCCUUUGUUUCUCAAGAAAAUUCUUGGGGAAAUUGGUUGUUUUGCAAGUUUGUACAUUAUUUUUUAAUUAUUUACAAGGUGUUACAAUACUUUAGUAGUCUAAUCCAAAUUCUACAUCCCAAAAUCAUAUACGAUUUGGGGUUUGUAGAUUCAACUUGUUUCCGUGUCUAUGUGAAAGUCAGAUGUGAAGAGAUGGUGGAGACAACUGACUUAACAUUAAUGUAGUUGCAGGACUAAUGAGAAUAAUUGCUAGGAUACAUAUACUUGGGGCUUUAAACGGUGUGAAGAUGGACUUGGCAAAUGUUGUUUCCCCUUUGCUUAUAGCAUAGCUAGAGAGCUUGAUUUGGAGGAAUGGACUUCUAGGACUGAAACUGCUAAUGUG